rnacentral:lncRNA from 1 species
UAUAUAUAUAAACGCCGCCAAACGGAUAAAAGAGCAUGCAAGACUUAAUGUAAAUAAUAAUUCGGUGGUGAGAAAAUGUAUUUAAUUAUAUUUGUCGGUGAUUGAAGAAUUAAAUCAUUAUGAAUAAAAGAAAAUGUUCAAGAUUAUUAAAUUCUCGAAACGUUCGCCUUACGUUGAAACGAUAUGGAUGCAAUGAUGGAUGCAGCAAGACAGAAAUGGUAAGUGGAAUCUUAGAAAUAUUUUCACAUAUCACGUACAUUUUUAAUAUCGACUUUAUUGUGGUUGUCGUUGUGGUUGUUUGUGGUAGUUUUCGCUUUCGUUGUCGUUUUUGUACAUAGUAAUUCUGUGUCAUCCCACGUACGUCUUUAAAACGUAAGGUAGGAAAUAAAUAUAGUGGCUGAGAAAAGAUGGUAAAGUAUUUCAAAGAUUAUAAAUGCCACUAUCAAAUUGACAUACAUACUUAUAGUAAAGAAUAUAUGCAGAGAAAAUCUAGUCCGUUCUCAAUAUCUUGCAAAUCCCAACCGAGAGAAGUCAUCGUCACAUCUCUUAAUCAAGAAUAGUUUUUGAUUAAGAGGCGAAACGAAAGUUAAAUGAUUUUAGCGGUGCUGUUUUUUAACUAUCUAUAGUAAUAGAAAAACGAAACAAAUUAUGUAAGUAGAGCCUAACACCAUCUGUAGAAUAUUGCGCCCGUCAUAAAUAAAUUAUCGAGCAUAUCUUUGUUGGCAGAUCAGCCCAUAUGUGAAUAUAGAAUAUAUACACAAACUUGAGACAAAGGGCAGUUUUUAUACCAGAUCAUCCAUAUAUGGUAGUCUGAUAUAAAAACCAAGAAGUAGCAUAAACAUGCAUAGUAAUGUAGCAAACAAGGUGUUUGAUGGGAGCUUAAAUAAAAUAACAAAAAAAAAAGACAUUGAAACCGUACCACGAGUUACAACUUUAAACAGUCGUUCGCAGGAAGGACCCUUUUGAAUUUGCACAUCUUGGUAAAUAACAGUCGCAUCUUCCUCAAAUGACACACCACGGUCUCUUUUUGAAAAGUAAUAAAAUGUAUAAUGUAAGUUCUCGAGAAAUAUUAUUUGAACAAAUAAGAUUGUCAAAAAUGUACAGCCUUUGAUAGUAGGUUUGACAUAAAGCAAACCACUCCGAGCAUAGUCCAAAACACACAACUGCGAGAAAGCGCCAGUAUUUUACGCAUGUCACAUUCAGUUCAAUCUCAUAUUUCCAAUACUGAGUUUUGGGCUCAACGUAUACAACAAAUAAAAUGUAUAUAAUCAUGACAUGACGUAAUUCCGAAACUGAACUUCCCUCUUAACGUUCUGGGUUUACAUUCCACCGAGGUCGACUUUGCCUUUCAACAUUUUAGGGACGAUACAAUGAAUAACAGGUGAUCAGUCGGGGUGGGUUUGAGGGGCUUGUGCCUACAGGAGAAAGACUUAUUCGAGGUUUGUGCCUACAAGAGAAAGACUUAUUACAAAACAUAACAACCACAAACAGAUUAUAUAACACAGCAUCACAGCAUAUGCACUUAUGUAGUCUACAAUGUUUGACACCAUUAGCAGCGCCUGUACAAUGCUCUCUGUUGAAAAGUACCAUCAAAUAAUUCAUAGCUAAUGAGAAACUUUUAUAACAUCAACAGAUGUACUCCGUCGGUUACGACGACGAAGGUUCCAGUUGAUCCGAUCAACGGAUCAGCCUGCUCGUGAAAGGAAAAGGAAUUGAGACGUCGAUCGGACGACUUAAGUAGAGUAAAGUCAAGAACGCCAUCAAAAUUAGAAAGUACGAAGAAAAAGAAACUGAUUUGAGCAAAAUCAGGUUGUUUUCACCCAAGCCAGAAAGUUAUCUACUUACAUAUUAUAUAAGUUACACACACACACACACAUAUAUAUAUCUGGUUUUGUUAUACAUAUACGUAUUACAUAUAUCACAAAGUGUUAUAUAUCCCUAAGGGAUGUAAGUGAAAUUAUAAGAAAGCAAGCAUUUUUCUGUGGCGUGGGAGAAUGCCAGGCAUGCUAAUUAAGCAGAAUGUAAAUAAAAUCUAAGGGGAAAAUAUCGCUGUAAAUGUUGAGGUGUAGAAAAUAUUUUGAUUUGGCAAAAGCAAAUAUUGGAAAAAGAAAAAAUUUAAAGUAACAAAGUGGGAAGCUGCUGUUUCUGCUUCUGCUGCUGCUGCAGAUCUUGUCCAUGGUUACUGACUGAAAGAGUUUACAAAUCGCUGUAAAAGCAUAUUGAGGCAGCAAAAGGAAUAACACCAAUUGGUGGAUUCAAGGACAGACUUCCUAAUAUCGAAGCAGAAACUGAAAGGAAACUAACAAAAGGCUUCAAUUUAGAAGAGGUCCACUAACGCUUAUGUGCGAAACACUGAAGUCCUUAUGAACAAAAAGGAUGUCGACAAAGGAAAUAGAAUAUAGUAAAUGCGCCCUUUUAAAGCCUAGUCGUGCUCAUGGGCCUGGUUUCCCGGUUUCUAUGGCGUAUGUGAUCCCCAGCUGGACGGGAUCCCAAUCCAUCGCAACGUUACUCAUUCUUGCCAGCUGAAUGGAUUGGAGCAACGUGAAAUAAAGUGUUUUGCUCAAGAACACAACGCGUCACCCGGUCCAGGAAUCGAGACCACAAUCUUGCGAUCAUGAUGCCGACACCCUAACCACUAAGCCACGCGCCUGCACCGAAAAAAGAAAUAGGGAACCAAAUAGCAAUAAAUGGCAAAUAAUUUUGAAGAAUUAAAUAAAGAAAAUGAUAAAUAGUUUUAAAGCAUGGAGUGAUUAUAGAAAUACACGUGGACUAAUAACAGGCUGUGUUGUCAAGAGCUGUUUGUGAAGUGGAAUUAAGUAUUAGAGGAUAAUGAUUCGCUGAGGUUCAGAUUAGUAAAGGAAUCAUCGAAAGGGAUUGGACUUGUCUUGUUUGUAAUAGCACUGGUUCCUUCGUCGAUUGUACAGAACCGAGCUACACUAAGAUAUUCACCGGGAAAGUAUGGGGGAAAAUGAACCAUCUGUUUAUGAGCGAUUUGAGACGAGUAUCAAGUUGAUCCAUUAAUGUAAAGUGUAUAUCGCAGUGACAUUUGGAUGGCAUCUGGAAUCGAUAAUUGUACAGCAAUGGAAAGGAACAUGGAAAAAAAAACAUCAUAAAAAUGUUACGGAAAUGGAUGAACCUGAUAGCGAGAAUAUCAAAACCUUUGAUGUAGAAAAAUACAUAGGUAUCUUAGAAUACCGGAUAUUGAUAAAAUCAAAGGUAUGGAACUAAAGAAUGUACUGAAUAAAGAAUAUUAUCAUAGAACGAAGAAUACUUAAAAAUCGAAAGCGAAAGCUUCAAUCAACCUGAGUUCAAUAUUCCUAAUGAGUUGGAAAAAAAGAAUGGAAAGGUAUGAACAGAAGACAAGGAAUCGGUUCACAGGAUACAGAAGCUUGAAUCGUUUGGAAUGGAAAAGAAGAAAAAUAAGAUUGAUGUUCGUGAGAUUUGAAGAUGUAGCAGAUCAAGAGAAAAGAAAUCUAGGAAUAUAUUUAGUAGAAAAAGAAGUACUAGUUAUGGAGGUUAAUAAGUGAAGAGUUAUUUAGAGAUUUAGUUGAGAUUCACACAGAAAGAAAACAAAGCUGAAAAUAGUGAAAGGUUCGAGUAAAGAAGCUUCAUCUAAUGCUUUUCAAAGAGAUAAAGAUGACACGAACGACUGGCUUUGAUUAAAGUAGAAUAAUGAAGAAAGAUACCGAGACGAUGAUUUAAGUAGCAGAAAAUAGGUUUUAAGGGUAAAAUAGACAAAAAGAAUUAUAGGGGUGUUCACUCAAACAUAGAAUGAGUAUCGCUACACACGAGAAUAUAAGCUUACUUUUAAUCGGAGCCCCUUCACUUAGAUCAUCAAAAGAUGACUGAUGAAACUGCUAGAAUAAUUCAUUGGAAUGUUUGCAUCAGGGUCGGAUUCCAACGCACAGAAAAUGGUUCUGGCGACUUUGUAAAAACAGAAAUAGAAAUCUUCAAAGACAAGGAUUGUCAUUACGAAACUUUAGAAUACAAAGCGUGAGUCUGAUGUUAUAAUCGUUCAGAAGAAUUAUUAUUAUUAUUAUUGCUAUUAUUAUUAUUAUUAUUAUCAUUAUUAUUAUUAUUAUUAUUAUUAUUAUUAUUAUUAUUAUUAUUAUUAUUAUUAUUAUUAUUAUUAUUAUUAUUAUUAUUAUUAUUAUUAUUAUUAUUGAGUGAGAGCAGUGUAUGCCAUCAAAGUGACACGGAUAAAAUAUACAAAGUCCAGUAUACCCACAAUGACUACCUGCCUGAUAAGGGUACACCAGGCACAUACAACACAACCAUAUGUGCGCGACAUGGUGAUUUCAUAUCAAGAUAAAUAGCCCAGUUAGAAUUUUCUUCAGAUCGUGUAGCCCACCCCACUCAAAUGGUCCUUGAAUAAGGGUUGUUUAAAGAUAUUGAAUAAAACACCGAUGUUCCCAUAAGUGAAUUAUCCAAACCCCAAAGAAUUCCUCUCAACUACGAUGCUCCCCAACUACUUCUGCUCGAGAUCAGAGAUGCACAUAUCGUCAGCCACAUGGUGAACUGGUUAAGGUCAUACAACUGACAAGCAAAUCUGUGGUAUUGAGCAGAAUAUUUGCUGUAGCCCAUCUUUUAUACCAAGACAUGUACAUGAUAACACUUCCAAUUAGUUAAGAUCAGAAGCCAUGAAAGCCACUGCCCGAUACUGCAUCAGCCUGGCACUGCAUCUGAGCAAUAUUAUUAUCAUCAUCAUCAUCAUCAUUAUUAUUAUUAUUAUUAUUAUUAUUAUUAUUAUUAUUAUUAUUAUUAUUAUUAUUAUUAUUAUUAUCAUCAUCAUCAUUAUCAUUAUUAAAGCCAAGCAAAACUACUAAUAAUAAUACUCCUCUCAACUAUAGGUACAAGCUCCUGAAAUUUGAAAGAGGGUGAUAUCAACUAUCCUCCUGAACUGGUACUUAUAUUAUCGACCCCGAAAGAAUGAAAGGCAAAGUCGACCUCGGUAGAAUUUGUACUCAGAAAGUAAAGACGGGCGAAAUACCGCUAAGCAUUUUCCGCGGAUUGCUAACGCUUCUGGCGGCGCACCCCAUUUUAUUAGUAUUAUUACUGUUAGUAAUGAUAAUAAUACCAACAAUAAUUAUGAUAAUGGUAAUGAUGAUGAUGAUGAUGAUGAUGAUGAUGAUGAUGAUGAAGAUGAUGAUGAUGAUGACGAUGGUGAUGAUGAUGAUGAUGAUGAUGAUGAUGAUGAUGAUGAUGACGAUGAUGAUGAUGAUGAUGAUGAUGAUGAUAUCUUUUGUUGGCCUCAAGGGCCCUACGGGAGUUAAGAAUGGUUUACUGGGAACUAUGCAACAAGUUUCGAUUGGCGGAUGCGAGAAAUUGGUAUGAAUAUGAGCAAAAGGAUGUGUUGGAAAAUGUCAGAGCAAACGUAUUUCGCUAUUUCUUGAUCGAACGUGAUCAUUGAAUCGAUCAUCGAAAAUCUGAUAUUGCACGAAUAGACAAGGGAAACCGCAUGCCCUAGAAAUGGCAGAAUCGUUGAAAAAGAAGCAGAAAGACUGACGCAAUAUGAAGCUCUGAGGAGAGAAAUCAAAAAGCUGUACCAAUGCAAAAAGCGUAUAGUGUUCCAAAAAUUGGGGGAAGCCAGGAAAAGAAAUUGUUGUCAAUGAUAGGAAUAGAAAGGAAAACAGAGCAUAUUUAGAAUUCAGAAGACAGCAUUAAGUGAGAGUGCAAAGAACCACUACAGAGUUCUCGAAACGUGGAAAGAAUGUACCAUUAUAGUAAACGGGAAGGGAACAGCUGGUACAUUAAUGGCACCACCAACAACAAGCUAUGUCAGAUAAAAUGAUGACGAUGAUAAUAAUGAUGGAUUGUCCCGUCGAAGCCAACGUAUGAGCGUUCAGUAUUUGCCGGAUGACGAUUAGCGAUGAAAUGUUCGUGCGGCACAUUGGCUCACACUUUCCAUCAAAUCGACGUUGUCUGAACUAGUGCACAGUGUGCCACCCGUCGGGUGUGGAAGUGAUCACACACACCAACGUGAGAUGAAGUGUUUUGCUCAAGACGCACCAUCCGCUCUAGGAAUUGAAAUCACGGUCGCUAGUUCCAGAAUGUAACACCUUAACCACUAAACCAUGCGCUCUCUGAUAAUAAUAAUAAUAAUAAUAAUAAUAAUAAUAAUAAUAAUAAUAAUAAUAAUAAUAAUAAUAAUUAUAAUAAUAAUAAUAAUAAUAACUGUGCGUACUGGGUAUUUGGGUUGACUGUCAAGUUACAACGAGAACCUCAGACAGACUGCACUUUGCGUAGUUUGCGCGCAGUUGUAAGUGAAGCCGAUUUUUGCAAUUCAUUAAGAUUUUAGGGUAUUUUUAAAACGCCCAGAUGUUGCUUGAAGCUGGAUGGUAUUGAAUCCAAUGCUCUAAUGACAACAGGAACGACCUUUAUGUUUGACUUUUGUAGUUGACAUAUCUUGUCAAUCUAUAGCAUCGCGAUAUUGAAUAUUGUGCGAUGUCUUAUAUGAUAAUAAUAUAAAAAAUGAUUUAUUAAUAACAUCCGUAAGGGAAAUGUUAUGUUUAGAAUAAGCGAAACAAUGCAGACAAACAGAUGACGUAAACAGUGGGAAUUGCACAUCCACAACACCCAGGAAAUAUUUCACGCAUAUUAUGCAGAGUGUGUUAAAUACAAUAGAAAGGAGACAAGUAAAACAAUGCAAAAUAAACUAAAAAAAGAAAAACACAUAAAAACAAAGCAGAAAUAGUAAUAUAGAAAUUGUAAAUAUUUCCAACAAAGCAAGAUAAAUAUUUCAAUUUAUAUUAUAAUUGUCUUUUUAAUGUCACUGAAAUGUAUAAAUAUCGUAGCAUUUCACAUUCGCCCAUUCAGCCAUUUUUGAUGAAGAGAAACUAACAUUAAGUUGAAAAAUAAUCAUUAUUUUCUUUUGAAAUUUGAGAGAAGUUUUCAAAGUGUUAAAUUCUGCCAUUAUUUAAUGAAAAUAAAUUAUUAAUUAAUAUUGAUGAUUCUCCUCUCUCUUUUUCUUUUCCCGGCUUGUUUUCGUUCUGACAGUUUUAAAAUAUGGAGUCGCUGAACUUUAAAAUGAGAUGACAUCGAGAAGCGAAUGUUUUUGUCGACGAAGCUAAUAGCGGUUUGCGAAGACGACGACAGCGACAAUGGUGAUGAUGCUGAUGAUGAUGAUGAUGAUGAUGACUGAUGACGACGACGACGAAGAUAGUGGUGAAGAUGUUAUACAGUGAAAAUUAAGAUCGGGAAGAUAAGGUCGAAUAUGAUCAUCUUAUCGUUAGUGACAAUAACACUAACGAUAAAAAUAAAGACAAAAUUAAAACAAAUGAUGGUGAUGAUCACAGUGACAUUGUGGAUAGUGAUGAUUCCUCUAUAAAGAAAAAAAAAGGUUGAAAGGGGUGAUGAAAUUGUUGCAAAGAGCAAAACAGUUGAACAAGACCGAAAGUAUUGUAGACUUCAAAUGUAUUCGUGAAAAAAUGGAAAGAAAAUUUCGAAAAAAUCAAAAUAAAACCCAUUAAAUAAUUUUAAACUAAAAGAAUCUGGAAGAUCUAAGAAACUUGACAGACUGUGGAAUGAAAUUUGUUUUAAUUAAUUUUUCGGAGAAAAUUGAAUAUACAUAUAUGUACACGUACACACGCACACAAGCAUACACACACACACACACACACACACACACACAUAUAUAUAUAUAUAUAUACACACAUAUAUAUGUAUGUAUGUAUGUAUACAUAAAUGUACACAUGCAUACAUAAACAUACACUGAAUCACAUACAGAUAUGUACAUAUAUCUAUAUCCAACUAUCAUCUAUCUAUGAAUCUCUCUCUCUCUCUCUCUCUCUCUG